UAGUAGCCCCGAUGGGAGCAAGUAUCCUUUUUUCUCGUUUUUUACGAGACAAAAGAUACUGUGUACAGCGGGUGUGAAC
rnacentral:sRNA from 1 species